UCCUGUGUAGCUCAGUUGAUAAAGAGUCUGCCUGCAAUGCAGGAGACCUGAGUUCAAUCCCCGGGUCAGGAA
rnacentral:tRNA from 1 species